UACAAUGGUUUUAUAGAAUCUUUCUGUCAUCCAUAUAGCUCCUCAAAUAGAUUUUCUUGCUCGGCAUGGAAUCUCUUCAUGCGUAGAUUAGAGAGAGGAAAUUUCGUUGCCCAUCAAAUACUCCUUAUUUGCUCGAUCACUUCUAUAUCUCUCUCUUUCCGGGUGAUGUUCAAAUACUUCCCACACAAAUGCAUCCAUGCACGCGCAAACGCACGCGGCGGACACAGCUUUGCUCCGACAAUCCUAAACCCCUUGCAACUACCCGAGUCCUUGGUGUUGACGAGAAGAUCUGAUUCAAAUCCCUUGAUCCCAAAAUUUGAUUGGUUUGAUUCUUUUCUUCCCUGUUUUCCACCUUAGAUUUUUGUAGGUGAGUAUGUGGUUGCUUGGUGGAGACAGCUACCUUAUUCUCUGCUGGAGUAAAUAGGGAGGCUACUGACCACCCAGCUUUUAUUACAAGCAAGAAACCAGAUGGGCAAAACACCAAGCAUCAGAGAGGCUAGACGCUAUCUUCCUAACUCUUGGCCAUCCUUCACCAAAAUCAGAGGAGAGGUAUGAUCAAUCAUUGAACAUGUGCAAUCCUUCCAGUACGACUGAGGCGAUUGAGCAUCUCUAAUUGAGGAAUAGUCUGCCGUUUCUCUACUUCCAGCACACCCAAGCAAAAGCAACAAACAGCAUAUGAAUUAGAGUACGUUCCCUCUUCGAAAAAAAAAAUCCUAUCAAGCCAUUCCAUGCAAAGCUAAGCAGACGAUCUUCCAAAUUGAAGAGAAUAAAUGGCAGAAGGAGAAAACAAGCGGUCGACAGUCUUAGGAGAUUGCCUGCAUUGAUUAAAUCCAAUGCGUUCGUAGCUUUGCAAAUAAUAUUUUCAAAAAAGAAAAACUCAUUUGCUGACUUCGGCCGGACCUAAAAGCAGUAGUUCUUAUCUGGUCGCAGCGGUCCACGCAAAGUCCGGCCCGGUGGCCUGUGCGUGAUCUGCAAGCACGUUUCCUCCUAUAAAUAAACUCGGCAGAAAUUGACAACCUUUCCUCCUCCCGACCGCCCACACGCCGUAAAGCUCCAUCCGGUUUCGCCGCGUCCUCUCCACUCCAACGUGUUCGGCGGGCGAAGGCGAGGAGGAAACCAAGACGCAAGAACGAAGCAAAGAGGCGAAGUAUUUUUUACAAGCCCUAAUCCCUCGCAGCGACCGUCUCAUCCAAAUUCCAAAAGAAGCAGCCUAAUGCAUGGGGCUUCUACCAUUGUGGAGUCUAGGAAGGGUCAUAUGUACGCAGCUUUACUCUGGCAUAUGGCAAGGUUUUUGUGUUUGAAACCCAUGACACCCAGCUCAUGGUGGAGCAACCUUACCAUCAUAUCAAGACUCACCCUCUCUUCUUGAAUUUUAGGGCUUCCAAUUUUUUGUGGGUGUAUCACAUAUAGGUCCAAUGCUUUCAGCAUCUAUUUUCUGAGUGUAGGGGAAGGGUAAAGGCUUCCAAGGUAAUUUUUGCAGGUCCAAGAAAUUGGGGAAGCACCAUCGAGACUUGAAUCUAGAACCUCCUUCCAAAGGUGAAGAAGGGUGCACCACUAGGGUUCUGCUCAAUUCGCUACUUUCAGCAUAUAGUAUUUGGACUUUUUAAAGUUUGCUAGGUAAAUGAUGUAAUUUCAAAAAUAUUAAAUGAGUGAACUUAUUGGUUGCCUUUUCUAUGAUCAUAAUUUUAUAAUUCUCGAAAUUCUAUGUCAUGAUAUGGUUUCAUGUUCUUCAGUAUUUUUUUUAACAUUUUUGGUUGAAAUAAAAGUAUUAUAGUGAUAAAAGAUGACUUGCUAUGUUGAAGACUUCAAGAAUACAAACCUUGCUGAAGAUCUGGCAGAGACAUGCUCUCUGAUGGAUACUGACACUCGUCUUGCAUGUGGAAAAGCUUACUUCUUCAUUGCAAUGAUUUAUUUGUAAGAUCACACAAUUGUUACUGUUGUAAGUGAGAAUAAAUUUAUUUCAUGCUGCAAAUCUUGCUGUAAUUUGUUAAAGAUUUUGCAAUCCAAGAUAGUUGAUUUAGUUCUUCAUAUUGAAUGAUGUUGCUUCCAAAUAAGGGUUUGCUGGUGGUAAGUGACGUUUUGGUCAUGAAAAUAGUUAAUGAUUUUUUUUUUAGGAAAGAAAAAGGAAAUAAUGAUUAAGCACAUUCUUUUGCACUCUGAUAUUCUAAUUGUCACUUGUAUCUAGAGAAGAUUGAAGAGUAAGCUUUAGAAAUCGUCUAGUUUUAUGUGAGCUGCCAACUGGCUUGAGUUGGUAAACUCUCUUGUAUUGAUGCGUGAGAUGUGUUUCGUCCCACUCUUACUCUAGGUUUCCACCCAUCUUAGUUCUCAAAACAAAAAGAAGAAGAAUAAGCAAAGGUGGACUUUUAUAGUUCUUUGAACAAUAUCACUACAAUGCCACCUUAAGAAGGAAACUAGGGGAAACUUUCUUCAUGGGAUAAACAUUUAUUAUUUUAUCUGCUGGAUAAAUUGGUUUUCUGUACAGAAGCUCACUCAUUCCUGGUUAAUUGGUCGUUGGAGUACUUCUAGCACUCCCAAUAUACCAAGGUUCCUUUUAAUGUUUGAGAAAACUUCAAUUAAUAGCAAUGGCAAAAGUAAUGUCAUUUAUAUGAUGCCAAGUUUAUGUUAUAAGAUUUCUAGCAUUAUCUCCCUAUGGGACUUAAAGGGGUUCUUUCUACAUGAAUUCCUAUUGACAGAUAUGGACUCUGAGAAAUCAAUUGUUUAUAAAUCUGUUGAUUUUUUGGAGUACUGUAGUUUGAAAGUAUCUUAUAUUCCAUCAUCAGAAUUUAAACUUCCACUGACCACUGUUUAAUUGUUUUCUGUUGUCUUAUCUUUAAUUAAACAUCUUUCAUUUCAUUUCAUAAGUUUAUAUUUUAACAGGUGCAAUUGAUUAAUGUGAACCAGGUAGAGGGGUAUCGAACCACCCAAGUUUACAAUUUAGUUUCUAUUUGUGGUGACAUAAUUCCGUUAAAAACUGUGGCAUAUUUUUUCUUUACUCGUCAUACAUUGAUCAAAGCUUACAUUCUUAUGCAUGUGGCUAUGCCACAGCCUUUGAACAAUAGUUAGGUCACAUCACUAUUUGCAGUCUCCAGUUAUUCUCAGAUCUCAAGAAGAAAUAAAUGGUCCCCAUCCCGAACUGUGCUAAUGUCAUCUAUUUCUGCAUUCUCAUGGUUGACUACUUUUGUAGGAUGGUAGCCCACAAACUUCUCACCUGCAUAUAUAGCAAGAUAUGGAUACAACCAAUGGAGAAUAAGACAACACAGAACAAUUCGGAUGAAAGGAUAUGUAAAAGAAGUAGAAUAUGACAGCUCUUGCAAAAUGGGAGUGAAAUAGAACAUACAAAGUUUCUGGUGCGGCUGGUCCAGUGAACAACAAGGUUCGUCAUGUUUCCAAUGAGGUAAGCUGUCAGUCCCAAAUUGAACAGCAUGUAGAAAAUAUCAAAUAACAUUUCUCUCGUGUUCUCAGCAUGUAAGUCACCAUAACCAGUUGUUGUUAAUGUUGUAAUAGACCAGUACAUUGCUGUUACGUAUCUAAUCCACAGGCUUUCUUCCCUGAAGUCUGGCAUCUCUGCACCUAUCCAGGUUCUCUUUGGAUCAGGGUAUCUAUCAGCAAUCAUGUAGUUAAAGCAUCCAGCACAGUGAACUGCAAAAAGUGUGACCUACAUCAAAAGACCAUUAUUAUGUGAUGAAAUGGUGUUUCUUUAAAAAAACAAAGGUAAUGAAGAAAAUGAUGAAAUCUUACAGAGACAAGCUUUGUGCACCGUAUCCAGAAGUAGUUGAACCGGAUGUCCUUCUCAAGUCUUGAGGAUAAGAAAAUUGGCAUGUAAUUAUUUUUCUUUCAAAGAAAACAUCUAUUGUUUGAAAAUACCCAUAUAGCAAGGUAAAGGACAAGAUUCGGACCUUGCAAACAGUGAACUGACCCGACGAAGGCGCCAGAGUCGGAGCAUAUUGAGUAGCUUAAAAGCAAGGCCACUGCCAUGUUUAUUAAAGAGGAGGCUGAUUGGUUGAAAUGGAACUGUUGAGCAUACAUCAAAGAUGAACCAUGUUGAUAGAUACCUGUGGAGUUCAGAUUGUGUGAAGCUUGUGUAGCUUCUAGAGUUUUGCACCAUGCAGAAUUCACAUGGAAUUUAGAGAGACCAGUAGGGAAUCUAUUAUUAAUAUUGAAGCAGCAAUAGAAUAGAUGUAGUUCGAGUACUAACCUGAGUGCAAUUCUCUUGUGAUCAUCAACCAGAAGAUAAGUUUUGCGUUCAAGGAAAGCAACAAAGAAGGUGAGGACAAUAUCAAUUGCAAAAAAAAUGUUUACUAUGUUGUCCACAAGAAAGAGUGUGCCUGGCAAGUAUCUCAGAAAUGCAAAUUCAAACGGGCAGAUCCAGGCCGAGUAGACAACCAGGAGAAUCAGGAAUAUUUCCCAGACUCUGAAGAGAAGAUGAAGGGAGAAAAUGAAAUAAACUGGCUGGUUCUUCCAUGCUUCAUAUGUGAAGAGAUUUAGGAGUCAUAGGGUGACUAACUUUUAUAUACCUGUAAUGAGGAUUAUAAGGAGAAACGGUAUAUUUCCUCAGCUUCAUAGACUGGUUUAUUGUCGCUCCAAGAGAUGGCAACAGAUCACUGGAGAAGCUGUAGACACCAUUUUCCAUUGGGAAUCCAUCAUGACAGAAGCGCUGUAAGUAGGACUUUACACAAGAGAGGGGCAUGGUUAUAGUAUGAUGCUUCUGAAGACUGAUAUGUAUGGUUAAGGGGUUGUGGAGUUGUCUAAUAUAUACUGAAGGUGGUGGAAUUGUCUAACAUACACUGGAUGUGGUGGAGAUGAGUAUCCAUCUUAUGAGCUGAACGUGAUCAAAAUGGAGGCAGCAAAGUGCAGAUAAUGAGUUGAACAAAAGAAAAGUCUCUGUCACCAAAAUAAAUUAAAGGCUGGCCUUUGCUUCUGGCUCUAUCAGAAGGAACAAGAAUGAAUUCAGACUGCUUCUGAUCGAUAUGUGGAGGUAUUGGAAGUGGCAGACAUUCAAUUCUUUGGGAGCAACUGGUGGUGAUUUUGGACCAACAUUACCAGGAAGGUGGGGUGGGAGUUCCAUUAGCGCAUGUGGCUGGUGGGAUGGAUUUUAUCAACAUGCCUCUGAAUCAAGAAGGGCAUGUAAUCUGAAUUGAUCAAGUGUUGCCUUCAAAAUGCCAAAUGUAAACCAGGAGACCCCGUUGUCAGGUUUAGCUAUCUGAAUUACAUGCAAAUUGGCAUGCGCCACUGGGAAUUUUUAGCCUUGAGGAGUGAGAGCAUCCUAAAAUGAACGGCAGCAUCGGAUCUUUGAGCCACAUCCUUAAAGUGCCAGCAGCAGAUAUGUAAAUGCGAGCACUAAGAUGUGUUUUAGCAGCGAUGUUACUCCUGGCUGAAUGAAUGCAGCCGACAUAUUUCUGAUGGCUAUUGGCUAGCUGUCUGAUCUUGAUUAAAUGGCUGAGAUCAUUACACCGUAUCAUUCUCUGCCUUCCAAGAGAGGUAUUUGAUAUUUCUCCAAUGGAUGUGCGUUGAAUGAGUAUAAGCUUGCCAAACUGAUGCGUAAAAAGAGCCUUUCAUGUAAACUAUUACAUGGUUUGCUGUUUAAGAGCAUCACAAAGCCCUCACCCUGGUAUCCUUAUCCAUCCAUGUGAAUGGAUGUGAGCCUAGCUGGGGGCAGAAAAUGGAUCAUAAAAGUGAUCUGGAAGACAAUCUUAGUUGGAGCAAUUCACACUUUUAAGUCCACAGACACCAUCUUGUUUAUGUAAAGCCAGGUUCUUUGUCGGUGGAUGGUUGCGAUGGAGCCACCCAUCUGGACCCUCACUUGAGCUGGUGCUGGAAGGUGGCUUCAUCCAAUAUAUGAGAGUUCAGAUACUGUGGAAGAUUUGCAGCGCCAGUCCUGGUAGCGGUGGGCGCCAUGGAUGCAUGAUUGGGUGUUUUCAAAAAAUGUUGUUGGCUUGCUGGGUCAUGCAAUGGAUGUGAUAAUUAGCAGCAAAAGCUGACUAAAUACAACAUAAUUUGGAGCUCGUUUUCCGGAUUCCACACAAGAAGUGGCAGGACAUUUUUGUUAGUCGUUGGUUUCAUUGAGCUUUAAUCUUGUUCCCUGUGACUAAUCUCCCUUGCUGUAUUCUCCUACUGUGAUUGGAAAAAACCAAAGCAGCCUUGCCUUGUGGGGCAGGGGUUAAUUGAGAGAUGGUUAUUCUGAGGGUCUUGACUAAGUUUUGCAAUUGGGACACUUGUUGUUCGACUUCAUGGGCUUAUCAGCUGUCACGGGCGUAGGUACCAAGUGGAUUCCCCUGGUCCAGGAAUUGGGUUGGCGUGGGGAAGGCUGAACACCUGGUUUAGAAGGCUUCACAACUUUAAUCAUAUGAGUCUCACAUGUAUGAGGCUCACAUGGCAAUAAUGCAAAAGCUGGCACUAUUUGCAGUUGUUCUCGGGCGUUAGCAUCACCGCUCGUUGGGAAGCUAAUCCAUAAGCUGCAAUAGCUGGUUGGAAAAUGAUUGAGCGCUUUCUUCGUGUCAUCUUGUGUUAAUUUUCUAAUAUCGGAAAUAUUCAUUCUUUUCUUUGGUCAAUUUGGAAUUUUGACAAAAAUAGGGGCGAGUAUAAAAUUGAGAAAACAAGCCGUGGAUGCCUUGGAAUCCACUCAAGACCAAAUGCCUAUGGGUGGAGUUUAAAAAAAAAAAAAGGGAGAAGAUUGGCAUGAA